rnacentral:lncRNA from 1 species
GGCUCUCCAGCCUCUGGCACAAUCUCGGCAUCCUUCGAAUCCUCCACCACUGAGAAAGCAGCCUCCACAGCAUUGGCCUCCUCAUCAACAGCGGAGACCUCUUCGACCAGAGCCUCCUCAACCAUCGGGGUCUCCUCCGCUACAGGUGCGGGGGCAGCCUCCUCCUCAACCUCGGCACUCUCGAGCACUGCCUCCGGCUCACCCACAACUUCUGGUACCGCCUCAUCGCUCGCAAUCGGCAGCUCCACUUCGCGCGACUCCACUUCAGGAGCCGCUUCCUCAGUCACGCUUGCAUCGGGUGCCUCCGGUGCAGCAACCUCUGCCACUGGAGCCUCUGGCGCAACCUCGGCAUCCUUUGCCUCCUCCACCACUGGAGCAGCAGCCUCCUCACCAUUGGCCUCCUCAUCAACAGCGGGGACCUCUUCGACCAGAGCCUCCUCACCCUUCGGGGUAUCCUCCGCUACAGGUGCGGGGGCAGCCUCCUGCUCAACCUCGGCACUCUCGAACACUGCCUCCGACUCACCCACAACUUCUGGUACCGCCUCAUCGCUCGCAAUCGGCAGCUCCACUUCGCGCGACUCCACCUCAGGAGCCGCCUCCAAAGUCACGCUUGCAUUCGAUGCCUCCAGUGCAGAAACCUCCACCAUUGGGGCCUCUGGCUCUGCAGCCUCUGGCACAAUCUCGGCAUCCUUCGAAUCCUCCACCACUGAGAAAGCAGCCUCCACAGCAUUGGCCUCCUCAUCAACAGCGGGGACCUCUUCGACCAGAGCCUCCUCAACCUUCGGGGUCUCCUCCGCUACAG